GGGUGGUGUACGGAGUUGUACGAACUUGUCCGAAGUUAUGACGUCACGCUAACCAUGACGUCAUCUAAACUUUGGACAGUCAGCCGGGUGUACUGAUCAGGUCGCGUAUUCCUAGGAAGAUGUCGCCUAGCUUGACUUUGGCGAUAUAUAUACUCCACUACGCGUCUACAAGUUUUCUGUGUUACGUUCAAAUGUCUCAACUGUCAUUUCUAGAACCUUUCUUCUAAUGUUCUCAUCUUCUUAGACGUCACAAUCUGACGUUUACGUCACUAACUCAGGUGUUUUCGUAAUUCGAAACCGGAAUGCGUUCUUCGAACGGUGUCGUUUUUCAGUCUAACAGUUUGAAACCGUGUGGCGAUGAAGUCGCCACGGCUACUUUUUAGUCCGUGUCUUUGACGAAAUAGACUUUUUUAACGGGGGAUUUACGGACAAUAUUAUAUCAUAUCAUGUCGUGCAGUAAAUCUUUGAAGGCUACAGAUCUCCAUUCGUCCUGGAAAGUCGAGUUUGACUGGAAGGAUUUUCCGGAAGAACUUGUUCAGGGAUGUUGUGCUGUUGCAUCUGUUUUGUGCGUGCCAACGGUGGCUGUUUUAUAUAGCCUUAUCACGGUCGCGGCUUUUGCUGUAAGCCAUGCACAAGUCUCUCCACCUGACACCAAAUGGAGGGAAAAUGUUCUUCUGUGGACAGCCAUCUGUCUGCCAACAGGCGCUGGGAAAUCUACUAUCUGUAAAUGGAUUCAAGAACUUGUGACUGAUGUUUACACGAAGUUGCGGAAAGACCAUACGGACAGUGGUAGUCCGUCUGCUGGGUUUACUUAUGUACUAAAUGGUGGAAGUACUUCAAUUAAUUGUUAAAUUACAAGGAAUAACAUAACAACUACUACUUCUUAUGAUACAAAGUAGUGAAAGAUGACUGCAAUACAUGUAGUUUAUAAAUAGAUAGGGGAGAUGUUUUCAGGUACUUGUAUUUAGAAGUGACGUAAAAAAAGGGAAAUAUAAUAU